ensembl:scaRNA
UUGGAGGUAAAGAAAGUGAGGCAAGUGAAGACUAUGUUGCCUUCACUGAUACCCACCUCCCAAAUUAAGUAGCAGAGAGAACAUCCUGGGUCUACAGGGAAAAACCUUGGAUUACUGCAUCUGCUUACAAAG